CCAAGCUGAAAGUUUACGAGAAAAGAGACGUGAAGCUUGGAGGCCUAGGACCUGACCUUGAGUCCACACGAGACAAAGUGAGUAAGUUAAUACAGCAAAAGGAAUAUGCAAAACAAGUGAAGGAAUACAACAUGAAGACACUCUCUCUCCUGUCAAAAACACCAACCGGCCAAAACUGAAAACAGGCCUGUCAUCCCUCGGCAAAAGGCUUUGGAAUAUGCUAAAACCCAUCCCCAAACCAAGUCAUCCAUGACUGACACCACAUCCAAGAAAAGAAAAAUUCUACCAAUGCUGAAGAAGAGGAACUUUACCUGAAAUCUCACUGCUGGAACUACUACAAAGCAGACAUAGAAAGGGAAAAAACAGGCUGUGGCGGGCCUUCAAAGUCCUCCAUAUUGUAUAGACAAAAUGUGUAGGAGAGCC